UACGUAGGGUGCAAGCGUUAAUCGGAAUUACUGGGCGUAAAGGGCGCGUAGGCGGAUAGUUCAGUCGGGGGUGAAAGCCCGGGGCUCAACCUCGGAACUGCCUUCGAUACUGGCUAUCUUGAGUACGGGAGAGGUGUGUGGAACUCCGAGUGUAGAGGUGAAAUUCGUAGAUAUUCGGAAGAACACCAGUGGCGAAGGCGACACACUGGCCCGUUACUGACGCUGAGGCGCGAAAGCGUGGGGAGCAAACAGG
rnacentral:rRNA from 1 species